rnacentral:rRNA from 1 species
AACGAACGCUGGCGGCGUGUUUAAGACAUGCAAGUCGCACGGGAUAAGACAUGUAGUAAUACUUGUUUUAUUUAGUGGCGCACGGGUGAGUAACACGUGAAUUACAUGCACUAUAGUGGGGAAUAGCCCAGGGAAACUUGGAUUAAUACCCCAUGGUAUCGAAAGAUUAAAGGUGGCCGCAAGGCUGUCGCUAUAGGAUUGGUUCGCGCCCUAUCAGCUUGUUGGUGAGGUAACGGCUCACCAAGGCAAUGACGGGUACCGGGUCUGAGAGGACGAUCAGGCACACUGGAACUGAGACACGGUCCAGACACCUACGGGUGGCAGCAGUCGAGAAUAAUUCACAAUGGGGGCAACCCUGAUGGUGCAACGCCGCGUGGAGGAUGACGGUCUUCGGAUUGUAAACUCCUGUCAUCUGGGAGAAAGACCUGACGGUAAUAGCCGGCAGGGUUGAUAGUACCAGAAGAGGAAGGGACGGCUAACUUCGUGCCAGCAGCCCGCCGUAA